GCUCGUGGUUAGUGUGCCGGAGAUAUGCUCCUCAGGACUGGGGUCUGAUCGUCUGUGAGCACCGGCACACCUGUGGCUUUCCUGUCUUACAUCACAUAUAGGGACAGGCCAGCUACUGAUGGUGGAUCUCAGACAUGCAUGUGAUCACUAGAAAGUUUAACCGGGGGUGUACCUCUGGGCCUAUAAAUGAGACUAAAAUGGUGGAAGAGAAGAAAAGACAAGAGGAUGAAAGCCAUCUACAAUGCUCUACCCUGGGGAAAUAAGCACAGGCCAUUUUGAAUUGGUGAAAGACUAAGACCCAGCUCAAGCACUCCACUGGUGUGAAAACUUCUCCAUUGGAGACUUAACCUGCAAAUGUAUUAGUUAUGGUCAGCGGGUUUAAUAAGGGGCUGACAUAUUAGUGCAGAACACCCCAACUCAUGUGAAAUAAUUCUCUGGACCAGAGACUGGAAGUUUUUAUCCCUUGGCUGAAGGGAAAGGGUUUAUUACCCUGUUAAAUACUGUGAGGCUCCAUCCAGCCUAGUUCAGACUCAAGUGGCACCCCAAGCU
rnacentral:lncRNA from 1 species